rnacentral:snRNA from 1 species
AUAAAUCGCACAAAAGGACAACUCUCUCUCAUCUACUUCUUUAUGGAAAAUUUCCACCACAUUCCCCAAAUGUGGGAAUCUCGACUGCAUAAUUUCUGGUAGUGGGGGACAGCGUUCGCGCUCUCCCCUG